AUUUAAGCAAAUUUUCUUUCACUCCCCUGAAUAAAAUGUCUGUCUUGCUUCUUGUAGUGACGAGUCUCUCUCCCACACUCCAAAAUCAUUCUCAUUGAGAUGAACGCAUUCUUCAGACCAUUGGUUACUGGAAUUUCAAAUGGGAAUUUAAAUUUUCUUUUUUGAGAUUCCAUUGAAAAUUAUGAACAAUGCUAGUUCCUUUCUCGCGAUUCCUCAAAUCCACAGUAAACCCUGGUCCAUGCUUCUUCAGAAAAUGCUUUAACUCAUGGGCUUCAGAAAUCAAGAAUGCCUCCUCCCCGUACAAAGCUUUGGACCUCUACUUCCAAAUGCACCGUCGUUCCAUCCCUUUUGAUAGCUUCUCUGUUCUUUUCACGCUCAAAUCAUGUACCCGUUUGCAGAGUCUUAUCAUUAUUCGUCAUCUGCAUUCUCAUAUAAUCAAAUUGGGAUUCAUCACUCACGUCUAUGUUGCCACUUCUCUUCUUCAUGCUUAUGUUGUCACAUCCUUUAGUAAUGCGUGUCUAUUGUUCGAUGAAAUGCCUGAGAGAAACACUAUUACGUGGAAUACAAUGAUUACAGGGUAUUCAAGGUCAGGGAAUAUCAAUAAAGCACGCGCCAUUUUUGAGGAAAUGACAUUGAGGGAUGUGACCUCUUUGUCUGCCAUUAUCAAGGCCUACUUUGACCAUGGCUAUUGGGGUAAAGGGUUAUCGUUAUUUCGAGAAAUGAUAUCGAGUGGGGAAAUAAAACCAGACCUAGUGACCGUGGGAACUGUUUUAUCAAGUUGCGUAAACUUGGGUGCUCUUGCACUGCUAGUUGGGAAAUCAGUUCAUGGCUUUACAGUGAAGAAUGGGUGGGAGCUGAAUGUGCAAAUUGGCACAAUUCUGGUUGACUUGUAUGCAAAGUGUGGAUACAUGAAGAAUGCUUUCCGGGUUUUUGAUUUGAUGCAAGAAAGGAAUGUCAUGAGUUGGACUGCAUUGAUAUGUGGGGCAGCACAACAUGGCUUUAGUCAAGAAGCGUUGAUCUUGUUUAAGAUGAUGCAAAAGACAAACGUUAGACCUAAUGAACUGACUUUCACAGGUAUUCUCAAUGCAUGUACUCUUUCCGGGAUGGUUGAAGAAGGCCGAAAGUAUUUCAAGAUGAUUGAAGAGUAUGGUUUGGAGCACAGAAUUCAGCAUUAUGGAUGCAUGGUUGAUCUGCUUGGUAAGGCAGGGUUGUUAGAGGAAGCUUAUGAGGUUAUUAAGACAAUGAAAUUUAAGACUAAUGUUGUUAUCUGGGGCUCCUUUUUGUCAGCGUGCAAGGAGCACAAGCAGUUUGACAUGGCUGAAAGCGUGAUUGAACAGAUCUUGAGUGCAAUAGAUCCAGAGAAUGAUGGGGGCAUUUAUGCUCUUAUUUGUGAUUUGUAUGCUUUAAACGAGAAAUGGGAUGAUGCAGAGAGGGUGAGGAAAUUAAUGCUUGAUCAAAAUGUGAGAAAAGCCAGAGGAUCUAGUUUUAUCAGAAGUUGAUUAUAGGGCGUACAUUCAUCUGUUCUCAGGCAACUUUCCAGGACUGAAGAACUAGUUCAUCAAUGAUUAUUCAGCUUCCAAUAGUUUUGACUUUUGAAUGUUGAUCUUUCUAUGAGUGGUUAUGGCAUAUCAAUCCGUGUUUACGGCUUCGAUCAGUACAGCAAGAAGACAGCAAAAAAGAAGAAUUUUAGAUUGCUUAUGCCCUGUAUCAACGUUUAAAAUGAACAUUUGUCCUAUUUGCUAACUACAUUUUCGGGAAAGAAAAAAGGAUUUGGAGCACUUUGGGGUUUCAUUUCCUG
rnacentral:misc_RNA from 1 species